AACGACUGCUCUUGUUUCUGUUGGUAAUUACCUACCGCCUUUAAAUAUUUCCAACCGCUUAACGGUCGGUAAAUCCCAACUAGUAACUCCAGCCUUUUUAACUCCCACGUUUCCCUUUUCCUCUCUUUUCUAACUUCUACGCGGUAAAACCUAGGUUUCGAAAAACCGACGACACCAUUGAAGUUGCCCGUUUGUUUUCGCCUCUCCACUGCCUCCUUCGCCGGUUACUUCUCCACUGCCGCCAUCUCCGGUUUCGUCUUCAUCUUCUCCGUCGCCAAUUGCUUCGUCAUCAUCACGCCGUUGCCGGUUUCAGAAUUUCACCGUCGACGCAUGUCGCCACCACACCAAUAUCGCGAAUUUUACCGUCGUCGUCGCCACUGCUCCGUCGUCGCGCCCACCACAACAGAUGUCUUCUUCUAGCAGGAGAGGGAGAGCUUCAGGAGGCCAGUCUACGCCACAUUCGUCGAAUGAUCCUGAGGGCGAGACUCCUUUAUUCUUUUAUUAGUAUAUUAUGUAUUUUGAGAAAAAUAAUGUUUAAUUU